rfam:Mesorhizobium sp. LNHC252B00 scaffold0001, whole genome shotgun sequence.
GGCCUUUCAUUUCUCGCGAUGGGCCCCUAUAUUCAGUUUGUCGGCUUGACCGACUAUGGCGAUAAAUGGGCGAUGAAAUAAGCCGUUCGGACCCGGGGGCGGUACCCGGCGCCUCCACCAAAAGCCGCUGUUGGCGACAGAGCGGUUUUUGCUGGGGGCGAAAUAGGAUCGACGAAGGUGUAAAGAUCGUACUUUUGCCCGGCAUAGUACCACCGUUAUCGGGCUAAACCUGUAGUUGCAAAUGACAACUAUGCGGAAGCACGUCUCGCCGCGUAAGCGGUGCGAUAGCUUCAAUUCAAGCCCUAGGGGUUCGCACUUCUAGGCGGGGUUCGGAGGUACCUGGCAACAGAAACCUCCACU